GAUGAACGCUGGCGGCGUGCCUAAUACAUGCAAGUCGAGCGAACAGACGAGGAGCUUGCUCCUCUGACGUUAGCGGCGGACGGGUGAGUAACAAGUGGAUAACCUACCUAUAAGACUGGGAUAACUUCGGGAAACCGGUGCCAAUACCGGAUAAUAUAUUGAACCGCAUGGUUCAAUAGUGAAAGACGGUUUUGCUGUCACUUAUAGAUGGAUCCGCGCCGCAUUAGCUAGUUGGUAAGGUAACGGCUUACCAAGGCAACGAUGCGUAGCCGACCUGAGAGGGUGAUCGGCCACACUGGAACUGAGACACGGUCCAGACUCCUACGGGAGGCAGCAGUAGGGAAUCUUCCGCAAUGGGCGAAAGCCUGACGGAGCAACACCGCGUGAGUGAUGAAGGUCUUCGGAUCGUAAAACUCUGUUAUUAGGGAAGAACAAAUGUGUAAGUAACUAUGCACGUCUUGACGGUACCUAAUCAGAAAGCCACGGCUAACUACGUG
rnacentral:rRNA from 1 species